rnacentral:rRNA from 1 species
UUUUUAUAAAAUAAAUUUUUAGUUAGUCCCUUCAUACAAGUUACCAAUUAAGUAGCUAAUGAUUUCGCUACCUUAGA